rnacentral:rRNA from 1 species
GACGAACGCUGGCGGCGUGCCUAACACAUGCAAGUCGAGCGAAUGAAGUUCCUUCGGGAAUGGAUUUAGCGGCGGACGGGUGAGUAACACGUGGGCAACCUGCCUCAUAGAGGGGAAUAGCCUCCCGAAAGGGAGAUUAAUACCGCAUAAGAUUGUAGUACCGCAUGAUACAGCAAUUAAAGGAGCAAUCCGCUAUGAGAUGGGCCCGCGGCGCAUUAGCUAGUUGGUGAGGUAAUGGCUCACCAAGGCGACGAUGCGUAGCCGACCUGAGAGGGUGACCGGCCACAUUGGGACUGAGACACGGCCCAGACUCCUACGGGGGGCAGCAGUGGGGAAUAUUGCACAAUGGGGGAAACCCUGAUGCAGCAACGCCGCGUGAGUGAUGACGGCCUUCGGGUUGUAAAGCUCUGUCUUCAGGGACGAUAAUGACGGUACCUGAGGAGGAAGCCACGGCUAACUACGUG